UGCAAAAAUGUAGCAAGAAGAAGGGGGCAGGGGACUCCUCUGACACAUGUUAUGUUUUAGAGCAUUUUAUAUAUUCCGCUAUCUGUACUAUGUAAAAAAGGUUUCUCCAAGAAUGAAAAGAAUUCACAGACAAAACAAAAGGUCAUUUUGUCCUUCGCGCGCCACUGUGUGGAGAAUGCCACAUAAUGUGUUUUGUUCAGAAACCUAAAUAAUAUCAAACUGCCCACAGGAACCUGAUCUCGUUUAUAUCCAAGGGGCAACUUUACCUGAAUACAAUUCUUAUAGGCUGACAACAUUUUUGAGGAGACAUUUGGAUAGCAUCUACAAAAGGAUAGCAUGUUUUACAGUGUUAUCCACUAGCAAAGGAUUUAAGAUUAACAUUGGAUUUUGUAUGAUAUAUAUAUUUAUUUUUCACAUAUUUCUCUUUAUUGACAUUUUUUUUAACAAAUACAAUAAAAG